AUUGAACGCUGGCGGCAUGCCUUACACAUGCAAGUCGAACGGCAGCACGGGUUCUUGCCCCUGGGGGCGAGUGGCACGGGGGUGUGUAGUACAGGGAAACGUGUCCUGGUGGGGGGUAGAGCCGGGCAAGACCGGUAUUUAUACCACAUGCGAUCUACGUGUGAGAGGGGGGCCGCUUCGCGCCUCGCGCUUUAAGGGUGCGCGAUGGCGGAUUAGCUAGUUGGUGGGGUAAAGGCCUACCAAGGCGACGAUCAGUAGCUGGUCUGAGAGGACGACCAGCCACACUGGGACUGAGACACGGCCCAGACUCCUACGGGAGGCAGCAGUGGGGAAUUUUGGACAAUGGGCGCAAGCCUGAUCCAGCAAUGCCGCGUGUGUGAAGAAGGCCUUCGGGUUGUAAACCACUUUUGUUCGGAAAGAAAUCCUUGGCGCUAAUACGGUCGGGGGAUGACGGUACCGGAAGAAUAAGCACCGGCUAACUACGUG
rnacentral:rRNA from 1 species